AGUGAACGCUGGCGGUAGGCCUAACACAUGCCAGUCGAACGGCAGCACAGUAAGAGCUUGCUCUUACGGGUGGCGAGUGGCGGACGGGUGAGGAAUACAUCGGAAUCUACUUUUUCGUGGGGGAUAACGUAGGGAAACUUACGCUAAUACCGCAUACGACCUACGGGUGAAAGCAGGGGAUCUUCGGACCUUGCGCGAUUGAAUGAGCCGAUGUCGGAUUAGCUAGUUGGCGGGGUAAAGGCCCACCAAGGCGACGAUCCGUAGCUGGUCUGAGAGGAUGAUCAGCCACACUGGAACUGAGACACGGUCCAGACUCCUACGGGAGGCAGCAGUGGGGAAUAUUGGACAAUGGGCGCAAGCCUGAUCCAGCCAUACCGCAUGGGUGAAGAAGGCCUUCGGGUUGUAAAGCCCUUUUGUUGGGAAAGAAAAGCAGCAGGUUAAUACCCCGCUGUUCUGACGGUACCCAAAGAAUAAGCACCGGCUAACUUCGUG
rnacentral:rRNA from 1 species